AGGUGCGAUCAUACAAGCACUAAUGCAUUGGAUCCCAUCAGAACACAUAAGUUUAGCGUUCUUGGGUUAGAGUAGUACUAGGAUGGGUGAUCCCCUGUGAAGUCCUCGUGUUGCACCCC
rfam:Erythranthe guttata cultivar DTN x IM62 scaffold_4550_contig_1, whole genome shotgun sequence.